AUCUUGAAGAGGCUGCCAAGGAGGCUGAACAAGUCAUUCAAAGGUUCAACCCUUCACAGCUGAAAGGGAAGACCAAAGGAAGGCCUGUCAUGGGAUUUGAAUUUGACCAUCUUGUGCGUUUAUAGAGAAGACCAAAAGCUGCAAAGUCAAACACUUCCAAUGGAUUUCUCACAGAUUACUUA